rnacentral:rRNA from 1 species
UACGUAGGGUGCGAGCGUUGUCCGGAAUUAUUGGGCGUAAAGAGCUUGUAGGCGGUCUGUCGCGUCUGCUGUGAAAAUCCGGGGCUCAACCCCGGACUUGCAGUGGGUACGGGCAGACUAGAGUGUGGUAGGGGAGACUGGAAUUCCUGGUGUAGCGGUGAAAUACGCAGAUAUCAGGAGGAACACCGAUGGCGAAGGCAGGUCUCUGGGCCACUACUGACGCUGAGAAGCGAAAGCAUGGGGAGCGAACAGG